AUUGAACGCUGGCGGAAUGCUUUACACAUGCAAGUCGAACGGCAGCACGGGGCAACCUGGUGGCGAGUGGCGAACGGGUGAGUAAUACAUCGGAACGUGCCCAAUCGUGGGGGAUAACGUAGCGAAAGUUACGCUAAUACCGCAUACGAUCUACGGAUGAAAGCGGGGGAUCGCAAGACCUCGCGCGAGUGGAGCGGCCGAUGUCAGAUUAGGUAGUUGGUGGGGUAAAGGCUCACCAAGCCAACGAUCUGUAGCUGGUCUGAGAGGACGACCAGCCACACUGGAACUGAGACACGGUCCAGACUCCUACGGGAGGCAGCAGUGGGGAAUUUUGGACAAUGGGCGCAAGCCUGAUCCAGCCAUGCCGCGUGCAGGAUGAAGGCCUUCGGGUUGUAAACUGCUUUGUACGGUAACGAAAGACUACUUUCUAAUAAAGAAGGGUCCGAUGACGGUACCGUAAGAAUAAGACACCGGCUAACUACGUGCCAGCAGCCGCGGUAAAACGUA
rnacentral:rRNA from 1 species